AAUACAUUUUAAUUAUCAAAUUAAAAAUUUUGAAUAUUUUGCAAAAAUUUACCAUUGUAGAUAAGUUGUUGGGUACGCAUCGAUAUAAACAACCCUAUCAUUUCCGCCCCCAAAUAUAACGUGGAGUUUUUGGAAAUGUCCUAAUUAUCCAUCAUUUGAAAAUUCAACAAUUGUGCAACUGACAAUGGAGUAGAUGCUUUCGGUAUUAUCAAACCAAAAGAGCCGAUAACAGCAGGUGAUAAUGUAGAAUUAACAUGUGCUGCUUCCAUUUAUAAUUAUACACAUGAUCUUACAUGGACAAACCAGACUCAAGCGCCAUUUGUAAAAACAGAAAGACUAAAUAUUAUACAACAUAAAACUUCAUUCACCUAUCGAUCAACUAUAAAAAUUAAUAAUGUGCAAAAAUCAGAUGCUCAGAAUUAUAUUUGUAAUGGGAAAUCCAGGGAUAUGAUAUCAAACACUUUUUCGGAAAUAAAAUAUAAAUUGGUUGUGCAUGAUCCUUUACGACCAUAUUUUAACAAAACUAAUAUGAAUGGAACCAAAGUGAGACAUAUUGAUUUGAUUGCGGGGAUAAAGUUCCGAAUAGAUGAAACGCCCGAUUUUUUUGAAACUGCACUAUUUUAUGUAUUUUGGCGCGCUG